rnacentral:rRNA from 1 species
UACGUAGGGUGCAAGCGUUAAUCGGAAUUACUGGGCGUAAAGCGUGCGUAGGCGGUUCGUUAUGUCUGCUGUGAAAGCCCCGGGCUUAACCUGGGAAUGGCAGUGGAAACUGGCGGGCUUGAGUGUGGCAGAGGGGGGUGGAAUUCCGCGUGUAGCAGUGAAAUGCGUAGAGAUGCGGAGGAACACCGAUGGCGAAGGCAGCCCCCUGGGCUGACACUGACGCUGAGGCACGAAAGCGUGGGGAGCAAACAGG